rnacentral:pre_miRNA from 1 species
AGGAGGAACAGCCCCAGUGGCGGGGCAGCUCUGGAAACCUGGAUUCAACCCCCGCAGGAACUCCGGAGCUCUCCGUCUGCAGGGCCUGGAGGCUCCGGGCGGGG